CCUACGGGGCGCUGCAGUGGGGAAUAUUGGACAAUGGGCGAAAGCCUGAUCCAGCCAUGCCGCGUGUGUGAAGAAGGCCUUCGGGUUGUAAAGCACUUUCAGUGGGGAAGAAAGCCUUGGGGCUAAUACCCUCGAGGAAGGACAUCACCCACAGAAGAAGCACCGGCUAACUCCGUGCCAGCAGCCGCGGUAAUACGGAGGGUGCGAGCGUUAAUCGGAAUUACUGGGCGUAAAGCGCGCGUAGGCGGUCUGAUAAGCCGGUUGUGAAAGCCCCGGGCUCAACCUGGGAACGGCAUCCGGAACUGUCAGGCUAGAGUGCAGGAGAGGAAGGUAGAAUUCCCGGUGUAGCGGUGAAAUGCGUAGAGAUCGGGAGGAAUACCAGUGGCGAAGGCGGCCUUCUGGACUGACACUGACGCUGAGGUGCGAAAGCGUGGGUAGCAAACAGGAUUAGAUACCCUGUAGUC
rnacentral:rRNA from 1 species